AACGAACGCUGGCGGCAUGCCUAACACAUGCAAGUCGAACGAGACCUUCGGGUCUAGUGGCGCACGGGUGCGUAACGCGUGGGAACCUGCCCUUAGGUUCGUAAUAACUCCCCGAAAGGGGUGCUAAUACCGGAUAAUGUCUUCGGACCAAAGAUUUAUCGCCUUUGGAUGGGCCCGCGUUGGAUUAGCUAGUUGGUAGGGUAAAAGCCUACCAAGGCGACGAUCCAUAGCUGGUCUGAGAGGAUGAUCAGCCACACUGGUACUGAGACACGGCCCAGACUACUACGGGAGGCAGCAGUGGGGAAUAUUGGAAAAUGGGCGAAAGACUGAUCCAGCAAUGCCGCGUGAGUGAUGAAGGCCUUAGGGUUGUAAAGCUCUUUUACCCGGGAUGAUAAUGACAGUACCGGGAGAAUAAGCGCCGGCUAACUCCGUG
rnacentral:rRNA from 1 species